UCAAUACUUUGAAAUAUAUAUGCGCUUUUCUACUUCAUAAGUAUCGAUGUAUGUCCGAGAACCCAUCAGAGUGGCAAUUUCUUUGCAUUCAUCCAUCUCAAAGCGCUUUAGCAUAUCUCUACCAUAUUUGGAUUGACUAACAAAUAUGUCAUCCUUGAGUUGUUUGAUUUGAAUUCAAAGGAAGUAGUUUAACUUCCUCAUCAUGGACAUCUCAAACUCUCCUUACAUCAUAUUACCGAAAUCACUACACAAUAACUCAGUAUUAGAACCGAAAAAGUAUCAUCAACAUAAAUUUGAACAAGUAGAGUAUGAUGAUCUAUUUUCUUAAUGAAUAAUGUAGUAUAAACCUUUCCUUUGGUAAAGCUUUUUUCAAGUAAAAAGCUUGUUAAACGAUCAUAUCAAUCACGAGGAACUUGCUUUAAGCCAUAAAGUGCUUUCUUAAGUUUAUAGACAUGAGAGGGAUAUUUAUAAUCUUCGAAGCCCGGAGGUUGUUCGACAUACACCUCUUCUUGAAUAUAAGCAUUUAGAAAGGCACUCUUCACAUCACAUCACAUCAAUUUGAUAUAACUGAAAAUCCAAUGAACAUGCAUAUGCUUGCAAUAUCCUAAUGGCUUCAAGCCUAGUAACCAAAGCGAAGGUCUCAUGAAAGUCUAUACUUUCUUCCUAGUUGUAUCCUUAUGUCACUAGUCCUGCUUUGUUUCUCACAAUUGUAAAUACCAACUUUUGUCUGGUACAUUGUUCAACAUUUAUUAUAGUAAACUCUAAUGUGUAUUAACCUUAGAAUUAUUUUGUGAAAUAUUACAAAGUAUGAUAUUAAAGUUUGUAUACAGCUUGUCACAGUAAACAUUGUUUGAAAAAAGCUUAAUGGGCUAGAAUUUAAGCCUUUAAGUUUAACCAUCAACUCAUCAUUAUCUUAGUCAUCACACUAUUCAUAGACAUAUAUUAAUAUUAUAGGUUUGUUAUUUUUAUACAUACUCAUAAACUGGUUCUAAUAAUAAAAAAUAUAUAUACAUUUAUUUAAUUAAAAAAUAAUAAAUAAUUAGAAUAAAAAGUGAAGAGAAUCUGGUUGUUAGCCAGAUUGAGAGUGGAAAGAGGUUCCCACGUUUUUCGGGGAAGUGGGUAGAGGGGUUUAACCACUAAGUAGUGGCUACACCUUCAUAAAAGGGGAGGAGGAAACAAUGGACAGAACAACAACAAAAAGAAUAGUGAUAUAUCAUCCAGAGAAGAACGCAACAAGCAAGAGACAACAGCAGCCAAGAAGUUCAGAAAAGUCUGAGAGAAGUGGUGAUAGAGCGGAUUGAUAACAAGCAAAACUAGGUUGGUAUUAUUUUUCAUUGUAUUCACAAUCAUUCUCAAAUAACAUCAAUUAAGAUACUCAAUGUAAAACCACAUGUUUUAGGAAUAUUCAUGUCAUGACUAACAUAUGCACUUUCAUAUAAUCUUAAACAAUUUCAGACUAUAUAUAUCUUUAAUCACUGUUUAUUAAGAUCACACAUACUUCUAUAAACUCUUUUCAACAAAAGAAAGCUAUUACUCAAAGUAUUCAUUAUCGGCCAUAGUCAUAAAAAAUUCUAAUGGUUAAAUAAAGAACAAUACACAAUACCACAGUUAAUUGUCAUCAUCUCACAUGUCCAUAAAAUUCUAAAUAAUAAAGUUACGAUAACUCUAAGGACCCCCUUAAAAAAAACAGAAAGUAUUCUCCGACAACCGGUAAUGUCGGUUACCUCUGCCGGCACGAACUAACGGACGAGUGGCUCACAUACACCCCUCCUUAUUCCGAUACACCGUCUCCUCAACGAGUCAUUCUCACCCGCUGGAUCUCUAGCGGUGGACCACCACGUGAUGACGACCGUCCAUGGUGGCCAAUCCGGAGAAGAAGAAGAAGAAAAAAUCGGUCCCAGACACGGACACACCUUCCUCAUCACCGGAGCUUAUCCCGAAUCCACAACAGAGGACGGUCUUCAUGGAUGGCUGCGUCCCUUCAGCCACUGACACUGCCUCGAUCCGCCAUCAUCUCCGUUUGCCGCCGCUGGAAGGAAGAAGAGGAACGAAAGAGGGAUUUAGGGAUUUCAUACAUCCUUUUUGAUGUAUUUCGCGAAUUGAAGACAGUAUGUUCUUGGGGCUAUGGCUAUGAAAACGAAAUAAAAAUCAUGGACGACCCUUGUUCACUGUCGCCGCUGCCGGAGUGAAAGGAGAAGAGAAAGGAGACAUGGCUUAACUUAGGGAUUUAUCCCUGUUGCCUCAUCUCACGAGUGAAUGGGGAGAAGGCAACCCCAUCACUAAUUUAACAACCCAUCUUUUGUUUAUUAAGUUUUUUUUCUUUUGUU
rnacentral:lncRNA from 1 species